CAUGCACACAACUGCAGUGGGCUGUGGUUUAUGCUUUAAUCAGAUCUGCUGCAAUGUAGUGUUCUGCCAAAUUCUAUGCAUGAUUUAGAUCCAAAUUUGGAAUACGUAUAUACUACCCAGGUCAACUUCAAGUCGUUAUUCUUUAGUGUAUUUCAACUCCUCAUUCAGAAAUGGAGGAUAAAUGUCUCCCUCCAACUUG